rnacentral:rRNA from 1 species
GGUGGAUGCGUGGGACCUGAUCUGGUAGUAGCCAAGCGAUGGGGUGACGCAGGAAGGUAGCUGGGCCAGUCAGUGGUUGUACUGGUGUAAGCCUGUAGGGCGAACGGUAGGCAAAUCCGCCGUUCACACAGCCUGAGAGGUGAUGCGUAGCCGAUUGAGGCGAAUUCAGUGAUCCUAUGCUGCCGAGAAAAGCCUCUAGUGAGUUGUUACACGGCCCGUACCCCAAACCGACACAGGUGGUCAGGUAGAGAAUACUAAGGCGAUCGAGAUAACUAUGGUUAAGGAACUCGGCAAAAUGCCCCCGUAACUUCGGGAGAAGGGGGGCCCCUGCCGGUGAUCACUCUUGCAGUGUGAGCUGGUGUGGGCCGCAGAGACCAGUGAGAAGCGACUGUUUACUAAAAACACAGGUCCGUGCGAAGUCGUAAGACGAUGUAUACGGACUGACGCCUGCCCGGUGCUGGAAGGUUAAGAGGACCGGUUAGCCAGUAAUGGCGAAGCUGAGAAUUUAAGCCCCAGUAAACGGCGGUGGUAACUAUAACCAUCCUAAGGUAGCGAAAUUCCUUGUCGGGUAAGUUCCGACCUGCACGAAUGGCGUAACGACUUCUCAGCUGUCUCAACCAUAGACUCGGCGAAAUUGCAUUACGAGUAAAGAUGCUCGUUACGCGCGGCAGGACGAAAAGACCCCGGGACCUUCACUACAGCUUGGUAUUGGUGUUCGGUUCGGUUUGUGUAGGAUAGGUGGGAGACUGUGAAGCGGUGACGCCAGUUACUGUGGAGUCGUUGUUGAAAUACCACUCUGAUCGUAUUGGAUACCUCAACCUCGGACCAUGAUCUGGUUCAGGGACAGUGCCUGGUGGGUAGUUUAACUGGGGCGGUUGCCUCCUAAAAUGUAACGGAGGCGCCCAAAGGUUCCCUCAGCCUGGUUGGCAAUCAGGUGUCGAGUGCAAGUGCACAAGGGAGCUUGACUGUGAGACUGACAAGUCGAGCAGGGACGAAAGUCGGGACUAGUGAUCCGGCACCGGCAAGUGGAAGCGGUGUCGCUCAACGGAUAAAAGGUACCCCGGGGAUAACAGGCUGAUCUUCCCCAAGAGUCCAUAUCGACGGGAUGGUUUGGCACCUCGAUGUCGGCUCGUCGCAUCCUGGGGCUGGAGUAGGUCCCAAGGGUUGGGCUGUUCGCCCAUUAAAGCGGCACGCGAGCUGGGUUUAGAACGUCGUGAGACAGUUCGGUCUCUAUCCGCCGCGCGCGUAAGAAACUUGAGGAAGGCUGUCCCUAGUACGAGAGGACCGGGACGGACGAACCUCUGGUGUGCCAGUUGUUCCACCAGGAGCACCGCUGGUUGGCUACGUUCGGAAGGGAUAACCGCUGAAAGCAUCUAAGCGGGAAGCCUGUUCCAAGAUGAGGUUUCUCACCCCCUCGAGGGGGUAAGGCCCCCGGCAGACCACCGGGUUGAUAGGCCAGAACUGGAAGUACAGCAAUGUAUGCAGGUGACUGGUACUAAUAGGCCGAGGACUUACCACA